UUGCUUUGGCAAUACAAACACACUAAAAUUGGAAUGAUACAGAAAAGAUUAGCAUAGUCCUUGCAUAAGAAUGACAAGCAAAGUUGUGGGGAAAAAUUGGCUUUU